AUUGAUCGCUGGCGGCAGGCCUAACACAUGCAAGUUGAGCGGAGCGGCGGACGGGUGAGUAAUGCCUAGGAAUCUGCCUGGUAGUGGGGGAUAACGCCCGGAAACGGGCGCUAAUACCGCAUACUAUCAGAUGAGCCUAGGUCGGCUUAGCUAGUUGGUGGGGUCAAGGCCUACCAAGGCGACGAUCCGUAACUGGACUGAGAGGAUGAUCAGUCACACUGGAACUGAUACACGGUCCAGACUCCUACAGGAGGCAGCAGUGGGGAAUGUUGGACAAUGGGCGAAAGCCUGAUCCAGCCAUGCCGCGUGAGUGAAGAAGGUCUUCGGAGUGUAAAACACUUUAAGUUGGGAGGCGUUACCAACAGAAUAAGCACCGGCUGACUGCGUGCCAGCCGCCGCGGUAAUUC
rnacentral:rRNA from 1 species